UACGGAGGGCGCAAGCGUUGUUCGGAAUCACUGGGCGUAAAGCGCGUGUAGGCGGCUUGGCAAGUCGGGUGUGAAAGCCCGGAGCUCAACUCCGGAACUGCACUCGAAACUGCCUCGCUCGAGUCCCGGAGAGGGUGGUGGAAUUCCCGGUGUAGAGGUGAAAUUCGUAGAUAUCGGGAGGAACACCAGUGGCGAAGGCGGCCACCUGGACGGUGACUGACGCUGAGACGCGAAAGCGUGGGGAG
rnacentral:rRNA from 1 species